GACGAACCGUGCGAACGUUGUUCGGAAUCACUGGGCUUAAAGGGCGCGUAGGCGGCUUGCCAAGUCAGGGGUGAAAUCUUUCGGCUUAACCGGAAAAGUGCCUUUGAUACUGGCGAGCUAGAGUGAGGUAGGGGUAUGUGGAACUUCCGGUGGAGCGGUGAAAUGUUUUGAUAUCGGAAGGAACGCCGGUGGCGAAAGCGACGUACUGGACCUCUUCUGACGCUGAGGCGCGAAAGCUAGGGGAGCAAACGGG
rnacentral:rRNA from 1 species